UUUUUUCCUCUCUAUAUUCAAGGGACACUAUAGUCACCAGAACCACAACAGCUAAACGUAGUAGUUCUGGUGUCUAUAGCAUGUCUUUGCAGGCUUUUUAAUGUAAGCACAGCCAUUUUGUGAAAAGGCAGUAUUUACAUUACUGAUGAGGAAUACCUCUAGUGGACACUCAGAUGGCCACUAGAGGUGCUUCCUAGUCGAGACAUGAAUGCCGCCCUAUGAAGUAUCUGUGCAUGUGCGGCAAAGUUGCGCAUGCGCACCAGAGAGCAAUGACGCUUCUGAAUAGAAGCGUUUUAUUGCUCCCUGCUUGCACCCUCCUAUUAAGUCAUUUUGACGAAAUAGGGGGCG